AUGCCGCGUGAGUGAUGAAGGCCUUAGGGUCGUAAAGCUCUUUCGCCAGGGAUGAUAAUGACAGUACCUGGUAAAGAAACCCCGGCUAACUCCGUGCCAGCAGCCGCGGUAAUACGGAGGGGGUUAGCGUUGUUCGGAAUUACUGGGCGUAAAGCGCGCGUAGGCGGAUCGGAAAGUUGGGGGUGAAAUCCCGGGGCUCAACCCCGGAACUGCCUCCAAAACUAUCGGUCUAGAGUUCGAGAGAGGUGAGUGGAAUUCCGAGUGUAGAGGUGAAAUUCGUAGAUAUUCGGAGGAACACCAGUGGCGAAGGCGGCUCACUGGCUCGAUACUGACGCUGAGGUGCGAAAGUGUGGGGAGCAAACAGGAUUAGAUACCCUGGUAGUCCACACCGUAAACGAUGAAUGCCAGACGUCGGGCAGCAUGCUGUUCGGUGACACACCUAACGGAUUAAGCAUUCCGCCUGGGGAGUACGGUCGCAAGAUUAAAACUCAAAGGAAUUGACG
rnacentral:rRNA from 1 species